rnacentral:rRNA from 1 species
GACAGCAGCCGCCGCGGUAAUACGGAGGGUGCAAGCGUUAUCCGGAUUUAUUGGGUUUAAAGGGUCCGUAGGCGGAUCUGUAAGUCAGUGGUGAAAUCUCACAGCUUAACUGUGAAACUGCCAUUGAUACUGCAGGUCUUGAGUAAAUUUGAAGUGGCUGGAAUAAGUAGUGUAGCGGUGAAAUGCAUAGAUAUUACUUAGAACACCAAUUGCGAAGGCAGGUCACUAAGAUUUAACUGACGCUGAUGGACGAAAGCGUGGGGAGCGAACAGGAUUAGAUACCCCUGUAGUCCCUGUCUCUUAUAC